AUACGGAGGGUCCAAGCGUUAUCCGGAAUCAUUGGGUUUAAAGGGUCCGCAGGCGGUCAAUUAAGUCAGAGGUGAAAGCCCAUCGCUCAACGAUGGAACUGCCUUUGAUACUGGUUGACUUGAGUUAUACGGAAGUAGAUAGAAUAAGUAGUGUAGCGGUGAAAUGCAUAGAUAUUACUUAGAAUACCGAUUGCGAAGGCAGUCUACUACGUAUAUACUGACGCUCAGGGACGAAAGCGUGGGGAGCGAACAGGAUUAGAAACCCUAGUAGUCC
rnacentral:rRNA from 1 species